AAAGGCUUUAGCUUAAUUAAAGUGUCUGGUUUGCAUUCAUAAUAUGUGGGGUAAAGUCCCGCAAGUCUU
rnacentral:tRNA from 1 species